rnacentral:piRNA from 1 species
CAAAGAAGCAAAAUUGGAACCUGACUU